rnacentral:rRNA from 1 species
GAUGAACGCUAGCAGAACGCCUAACACAUGCAAGUCGAACGGACUUGUUGACUUCGGUUAACAAGUUAGUGGCAAACGGGCGAGUAACACGUGCUUAAUUUGCCCUGGAGAGGGGAACAACCUGGGAGACCAGGCUAAAUCCCCAUACGCUCAUGGAAAUGAAAAUACCAUGAGGAAACGAGCAAUUGCUCUAGGAGAAGGGCGCGGCCUAUCAGGUAGUUGGUGAGGUAAUAGCUCACCAAGCCUAUGACGGGUAACCGGUCUGAGAGGAUGUCCGGUCGCAAUGGAACUGAGACACGGUCCAUACCCUUACGAGGGGCAGCAGUGGGGAAUAUUGGACAAUGGGCGAAAGCCUGAUCCAGCGAUUCUGCGUGAAGGAUGAAGCCUUGCGGGGUGUAAACUUCUUUUCUGGGGGAAGACGAAUGACGGUACCCCAAGAAUAAGAGACGGCUAACUACGUG